GACGAACGCUGGCGGCGUGCCUAAUACAUGCAAGUUGAGCGCUGAAGGUUGGUACUUGUACCAACUGGAUGAGCAGCGAACGGGUGAGUAACGCGUGGGGAAUCUGCCUUUGAGCGGGGGACAACAUUUGGAAACGAAUGCUAAUACCGCAUAAAAACUUUAAACACAAGUUUUAAGUUUGAAAGAUGCAAUUGCAUCACUCAAAGAUGAUCCCGCGUUGUAUUAGCUAGUCGGUGAGGUAAAGGCUCACCAAGGCGAUGAUACAUAGCCGACCUGAGAGGGUGAUCGGCCACAUUGGGACUGAGACACGGCCCAAACUCCUACGGGAGGCAGCAGUAGGGAAUCUUCGGCAUUGGACGAAAGUCUGACCGAGCAACGCCGCGUGAGUGAAGAAGGUUUUCGGAUCGUAAAACUCUGUUGGUAGAGAAGAACGUUGGUGAGAGUGGAAAGCUCAUCAAGUGACGGUAACUACCCAGAAAGGGACGGCUAACUACGUG
rnacentral:rRNA from 1 species